rnacentral:rRNA from 1 species
UACGGGGGGGGCAAGCGUUGUUCGGAAGUACUGGGCGUAAAGGGCUCGUAGGCGGCCAACUAAGUCAGACGUGAAAUCCCUCGGCUUAACCGGGGAACUGCGUCUGAUACUGGAUGGCUUGAGUUUGGGAGAGGGAUGCGGAAUUCCAGGUGUAGCGGUGAAAUGCGUAGAUAUCUGGAGGAACACCGGUGGCGAAGGCGGCAUCCUGGACCAACACUGACGCUGAGGAGCGAAAGCCAGGGGAGCAAACGGG